AACGAACGCUGGCGGCAGGCUUAACACAUGCAAGUCGAACGCACCUUUCGGGGUGAGUGGCAGACGGGUGAGUAACGCGUGGGAACGUGCCCUUCAGUUCGGGAUAACCCAGGGAAACUU
rnacentral:rRNA from 1 species